CUUUUAGGAUUGGCUGCCCCUCCGCAUCCAUAAUGUAAUUAAAACGAGGGGGGGAAAAAAUUAUCAUGGAGGCAGAGGUUAAUGCAAGUGUUUAGCAGAUGCCUUACUGUAAAAUCUGCGUUAAAAAAAAAUAAAUAACCAAAACAAAACAAAACAAAAAAAACCAACCCAACCAAAAAACCCACCAAAGUCGUUAAAACUUAAAUAUCGGAUAAUCUCAAACCAGCCUCCCGCCUGCGCCUCCGCGCCUCGGCCGCCGCUCGCCCGGCUGGUUUGCGCUCCUCUUCCGCGCUCCUCGGGACUGCUCCGAGCGGAAAGUAGCCGAAGAAGCCGGCAAAAGGAGAACUGAGCGUCGCGUCCCUCCUCAGACCUGCCGGGAAACGCGGCCGCGGCCAAACCGCCGGGUGUAAAUGCGACAACAAAAAUAAAUAUUUUACCUCCCGGCGCAGGGCCGUAUUUUACCGAGUCAA